UACGAAGGGGGCUAGCGUUGCUCGGAAUUACUGGGCGUAAAGGGCUCGUAGGCGGCCAACUAAGUCAUACGUGAAAUCCCUCGGCUUAACCGGGGAACUGCGUCUGAUACUGGAUGGCUUGAGUUUGGGAGAGGGAUGCGGAAUUCCAGGUGUAGCGGUGAAAUGCGUAGAUAUCUGGAGGAACACCGGUGGCGAAGGCGGCAUCCUGGACCAACACUGACGCUGAGUGAGCGAAAGCCAGGGGAGCAAACGGG
rnacentral:rRNA from 1 species